GGAGAGGUGCCAGAGUGGUUGAAUGGGCCGGUCUCGAAAACCGGUAUAGGAGCAAUUCUAUCGUGGGUUCGAAUCCCAUCCUCUCCG
rnacentral:tRNA from 2 species